AGUGAACGCUGGCGGUAGGCCUAACACAUGCAAGUCGAACGGCAGCACAGUAAGAGCUUGCUCUUACGGGUGGCGAGUGGCGGACGGGUGAGGAAUACAUCGGAAUCUACUUUUUCGUGGAGGAUCACGUAGGGAAACUUACGCUAAUACCGCAUACGCCCUACGGGUGAAAGCAGGGGAUCUUCGGCCCUUGCGCGAUUGAAUGAGCCGAUGUCGGAUUAGCUAGUUGGCGGGGUAAAGGCCCACCAAGGCGGCGAUCCGUAGCUGGUCUGAGAGGAUGAUCAGCCACACUGGAACUGAGACACGGACCAGACUCCUACGGGAGGCAGCAGUGGGGAAUAUUGGACAAUGGGCGCAAGCCUGAUCCAGCCAUACCGCGUGGGUGAAGAAGGCCUUCGGGUUGGAAAGCCCUUUUGUUGGGAAAGAAAAGCAGCAGGUUAAUACCCCGCUGUUCUGACGGUACCCAAAGAAUAAGCACCGGCUAACUUCGUG
rnacentral:rRNA from 1 species